AAUGGAUAAACAUUAUUGUUGUUAUUAUAAUAUAUAAUUUAGUAUUAAAAUAGUGUAUAUAUUACAUUGAUUAAUCAUAAGCAUGUGAGUUAUAAGUUAAAGCUUUUUAGUGAUUGCUCGGUUGCUUUAAAAUUCAAAUUUGUGUUUAAAAGUACGGUGAGUAGCAAAGAGUGAAUGAAAGAGAAAGAAAGAAAGAAAAAAGAGAAGAAAUUACACUAAUCAAUUUUAUAUUUUGGAAGAUAAAGCUCAUGCAUUCACACACCACGCUCAAGCAACAUGUUUCACGUAUACAAAAAUUCAAUUGAAUUUUAUAUUCAAAGGAAUAAAAUCAUGCCGCCAUUUAUAUUGUCCUUACACUCAUGUACUAUACAGAAAAUUCAUUACUCUUUAUAAAAAAUGAUUUAAAUACAAAAUAUAAAAAGAAUAAAUCAAUGUUUAUGAUUGAUACAAAUUUUUGUACAUAUUGUAAAAAAUAAAAGUAAUUGUUUUGAUUACUUGUAAAGGUGUGUCAAGUUAGAAACUAAUUUUGAUAAAGGUUUAUAGAUAAAUGCAAUAUUUUGUUUCUUUAUUAAAAUUCAAAUGAAUUUUCAGUAUUGUCAGUUUAGUUGGACGUUAUUAGGCGAUAUGUAUUUUCUUACCUUGUAUUGUAACUCAUGAGGAUAACAAUGUUUCUGUAACAGCAUAUAAUGGAUCCUGAUAGUUGGGAAGCGAGCGAUGAAGUGUUGAUGUCGAUUCACACAUAACACAUUUAAGCGGUACAAGCAAUUCGGCUUGUGUUAGAGAUUUCCAAUUAAUAAUUAAUUCAAAUGAUAAAUGGGAAGAAGUUUAAUAUUUUAAUUAACGAGAUAUCAUCGAUGUCAUCUAAGGCAUCCUGUAAAACAAUACCAAUGCUUGGUUUUUUAAAAACAUCCUAAAAAUAUCGCACGGAUGCACAAAUUGGCUCUCUACAUGCGAAAGAAAAUCUCUACGAUUAAUGCUGACUGACUUUCAGAAAGAAUUUGGAAAGAACUUGUUUUUUUUUUCCCUAUCUAUUUUAGAAAGAAAUAAAUCAUGGUUUGUAUAAAGUUCUUAUUUUCUUUCUUAUUCUUCUUGUGGGAUUGCAGCUGAUUGUGACCUCAAUGAUUGUUCAUUGAAAAAUUUCUUCUGAUUACCAAUAAGAAACGUUUUGAAAUAUUUCACUGAUGGAUUAGAUCAAUUUUAAACAUAAGAAGGAGAUAUGAAGCUUUUACUAAACAUUUUCACAUUAAUUAUUUCUAAUUAAGGAAGGACGCGCGAUAAAGGAAGAAAAAAGAAGAAGAAGAAGAAGAAGAAGAAAAAGAUGGAGAAUAUUCCUAUAAGGCAAUCAUUAUAAAAAUACAAAAGCAUAUCCUACUUAAGUGAGACUACAUUCUUGCCCUCUAUCUAGAAUGAACUUACUAAAAUAAUGUGCGCUAUGACCAAAAAAGAAAAAAAACGUAAAUGCGAUGCAAAGACCUUG